UCGGUGCGCGUGAGCCCGCCGCCCGCGCGCCGGCCGCGCGGGGCGAGAGGGGCGGUGCUGGCCCUGUGCUCAGCCCGAGUGAGGCCACGUCUGGAGUGAUGUGUCCGGUUCUGGGUUCAUCAGGACGAGCUACCGGAGAGGGUGCAGGGCUGCGAAGAUGAUGAGGGGACUGGAGCAUCUCUCUUAUGAGGGCGAGAGGGACUGCAGGAGCUGGGCCUGUUCAGUCUAGAGACACAGAGUUGUUUGAAAGAAUAGGCAAGGUGCCAUUGACGUUGCAGAAAGAGGUUAAAUACAUGAUGUCUUCAUGAGGUGUUUUGUAGCUCGUCCCUCAAUACUUGUACAGAGAACACUUGGCUGAAGAAUGGCUCGCAGGCACGGACUGGCAGAAGUGAUGUCUGUAAUGCAAGGAAUAUAUCCAGAAUGCCACAUUGCUGUGCCGGGAGCAUGAGCUCAGCACACAGCUCCCUGCUUCACUGUGCAUCAUUGACCUGUGUGACCUGCCUUUGGCAAGACAUGGCGCUCCAAAUGCCUCUGCUCAGCUUCUCCAAACCUCAUGAUCUACCAGCCAGCCUUAUGAAACAUGAGAAGCACCCCAGUCCUCCUGCUUCCAGCAACUUCACAAC